GACAGAGGGGGCAAGCGUUGCUCGGAAUCACUGGGCGUAAAGGGUGCGCAGGCGGUUCUGCAAGUCAGGCGUGAAAUCCCCGGGCUUAACCUGGGAAUGGCGCUUGAAACUACGGGACUGGAGUAUGGCAGAGGGAGGUGGAAUUCCACGUGUAGCGGUGAAAUGCGUAGAGAUGUGGAGGAACACCGAUGGCGAAGGCAGCCUCCUGGGCCAAUACUGACGCUCAUGCACGAAAGCGUGGGGAGCAAACAGG
rnacentral:rRNA from 1 species